GCCUGGCUGGCUCAGUUGGUAGAGCAUGUGACUCUUGAUCUUGAUGUUAUGAGUUCAAGGCCCAUGUUGGGUG
rnacentral:tRNA from 1 species